rnacentral:rRNA from 1 species
UACGUAGGCAGCGAGCGUUUGUUCGGAAUUACUGGGCGUAAAGAGUGUGUAGGCGGUGCUCCCAGUCUGUUGUGAAAUCUCCCGGCUCAACUGGGAGGGUGCGCCGAAUACUGAAUGACUUGGAGUGCGGGAGAGGAAAGUGGAAUUCCUGGUGUAGCGGUGAAAUGCGUAGAUAUCAGGAGGAACACCGGUGGUGUAGACGGCUUUCUGGACCGUAACUGACGCUGAGACACGAAAGCGUGGGUAGCAAACAGG